rnacentral:misc_RNA from 1 species
GAUGAAGAACGCAGCGAAAUGCGAUAAGUAAUGUGAAUUGCAGAAUUCAGUGAAUCAUCGAAUCUUUGAACGCACAUUGCGCCCGGCAGUACUCUGCCGGGCAUGCCUGUUCGAGCGUCAUUUCAACCCUCAAGCCCUGCUUGGUGUUGGGGUCCCACGGCCGCCGUGGGCCCUGAAAGGAAGUGGCGGGCUCGCUACAACUCCGAGCGUAGUAAUUCAUUAUCUCGCUUAGGGCGUUGGGCGGCGCUCCUGCCGUUAAAGAAACAUCUUUAACUCAAGGUUGACCUCGGAUCAGGUAGGAAUACCCGCUGAACUUAAGCAUAUCAAUAAGCGGAGGA